AUUGAACGCUGGCGGCAUGCUUUACACAUGCAAGUCGAGCGGCAGCGCGGGGGCAACCCUGGCGGCGAGCGGCGAACGGGUGAGGAAUACAUCGGAACGUGCCCGAGAGUGGGGGAUAACGCCGCGAAAGCGGCGCUAAUACCGCAUAUUCUCUGAGGAGGAAAGUGGGGGACCGCAAGGCCUCACGCUCACGGAGCGGCCGAUGUCGGAUUAGCUAGUUGGUGGGGUAAAGGCUUACCAAGGCGACGAUCCGUAGCUGGUCUGAGAGGAUGAUCAGCCACACUGGGACUGAGACACGGCCCAGACUCCUACGGGAGGCAGCAGUGGGGAAUUUUGGACAAUGGGCGGAAGCCUGAUCCAGCCAUGCCGCGUGAGUGAAGAAGGCCUCGG
rnacentral:rRNA from 1 species